UACAAUAAUCACAGAUUGAAUAUCCGAUUUUCCUAUGGCAGGAUUCAAAGGCAAACCAGAAAAAAAGUGUUAUUCUUCAUUCAAAUUCUUACAAAUAUUACCAAGUGCUUUGCCACCCAAAUCAUUCUGAUCAUAUUGGUGAAGAGGAAAUCAAUGUGAAGUCCGAAUAUGUGGCAAUAGAGAGAGAAGAGUGUCUGCUACAUCAUUUUCAUCACCAUCCAUAUAUUUGCACAAUUGUCUGUAUAGUCAUGCAAAACAUGUGACUUUUGGUGAUGCCGUUAAAGGAUGAAUUCUAGCAAAGGGGACAUUGUUAGUCAGUAUCUCCCUAGAUUUGAGAUUAUUGAAGAUUGUCAAAUGAUUUGACAGAGUAUCGAUUGAUAAGAAAUAUGAAUAAUGGAGGCUUAGAUAAUUGUACUGCAGUCAAUGAAUUCAGGGGAAGCUUGAAUUCGUCUUCGAGGAGAUUCAUGAUGGGGCGAAAGAUGGCCGGAAUGGGGAGAAACACGCACGGGAGGAAUAGGGGAAAUUUAGGGGAGAAACGCGCACGGAAGGAAUGGAUUGGGGAAAAAUUAAGGGUUUAGAAGGGGAAAUUGUGUGUUUUUUUUAAAAUAUAAAGUUGUAAUUUUAAUUUUUUUAAAUAUAAAAUAAUAAAUUAUUUAA